rnacentral:rRNA from 1 species
UACGAAGGGGGCUAGCGUUGUUCGGAAUUACUGGGCGUAAAGCGCACGUAGGCGGAUUUGUAAGUCAGGGGUGAAAUCCCGGGGCUCAACCUCGGAACUGCCUUUGAUACUGCAAGUCUCGAGUCCGGAAGAGGUGAGUGGAAUUCCUAGUGUAGAGGUGAAAUUCGUAGAUAUUAGGAAGAACACCAGUGGCGAAGGCGGCUCACUGGUCCGGUACUGACGCUGAGGUGCGAAAGCGUGGGGAGCAGACAGG